rnacentral:rRNA from 1 species
AUACGGAGGGUGCAAGCGUUAAUCGGAAUUACUGGGCGUAAAGCGCACGCAGGCGGUCUGUCAAGUCGGAUGUGAAAUCCCCGGGCUCAACCUGGGAACUGCAUUCGAAACUGGCAGGCUAGAGUCUUGUAGAGGGGGGUAGAAUUCCAGGUGUAGCGGUGAAAUGCGUAGAGAUCUGGAGGAAAACCGGUGGCGAAGGCGGCCCCCUGGACAAAGACUGACGCUCAGGUGCGAAAGCGUGGGGAGCAAACAGGAUUAGCUACCCUGGUAGUCCUCGCCGUAAACGAUGUCGAUUUGGAGGUUGUGCCCUUGAGGCGUGGCUUCCGGAGCUAACGCGUUAUUUCGCCCGCCUGGGGCGUACGGCCGCAAGGUUAAA